rnacentral:miRNA from 1 species
UUACGAUGAUGAUGAUGAUGAUGAUGAUGAUGUAUAUCAGCAGCAACAUCAGCAGCAGCA